UCUUGCCCUCGUCCGCCGCCCUUCGCCUGGGAGGCUCCUUAUCCCCCGCCCGAAGGGAGGCUGAGCAUGCAAGGCGAGCCUUGGGGGCUGCGGAGGUGCUUCUUUCCGACACCGGGGAGGGAACGGGCAAACUACAACUGGCAGAACUGGACAUUAGGAAAAGCUUCUUGACGAAACAAGAGAAAAUAAGACAAAGAAAAUGGAUUCCAACAAAUCUGCACCUGAACCACCACCUCCAGCAUAUUCAGGACCAGCGCCACCAUAUCCAGCUCCCCCUAACCAACAGGGAUUUCCACC